rnacentral:rRNA from 1 species
UACGGAGGGUGCAAGCGUUAUCCGGAUUCACUGGGUUUAAAGGGUGCGUAGGCGGUCUGGUAAGUCAGUGGUGAAAUCCCCGAGCUUAACUUGGGAACUGCCGUUGAUACUAUCAGUCUUGAAUACCGUGGAGGUGAGCGGAAUAUGUCAUGUAGCGGUGAAAUGCUUAGAUAUGACAUAGAACACCAAUUGCGAAGGCAGCUCGCUACACGAAUAUUGACUCUGAGGCACGAAAGCGUGGGGAUCAAACAGG